UAACACGUGGGUAACCUGCCCCGAUGAUUGGGACAACCCGAGGAAACUCGGGCUAAUACCAAAUGUGCCCUCCGGCCUCAAGGCCGCUGGGGAAAGGAAGCUUCGGCCUCCGCAUCGGGAUGGGCUCGCGGCCCAUUAGCUUGUUGGUGAGGUAACGGCUCACCAAGGCGACGAUGGGUAGCUGGUCUGAGAGGACGAUCAGCCACACUGGGACUGAGACACGGCCCAG
rnacentral:rRNA from 1 species